ACUUCAGGAAUGUGAUCUUCUCCAUCUGGUUGUGCUUAUGACUUACAUUGUGGCUGGAAAAGAAGCAUUCUGAGAAUGGGGAGAACUAACCAACUAAGGGAAGGAAAAAAAUAACCAUCUCUCCACUCUGUGUCUUUUGAACAAAGAUAAUUUUGAUGGAAAGUAGUGGACUUCACCCAUUCACUGACUCCUAAGCAAUGAAGACGCUUUCCAUUUUCUUAGUACAAAGAACACCUUUGACUAUAUUAUUAUGUUGCUAUUGGUAGCAACGGUUUGCACUGGUGAGGAGAUAUGAUAAGCAAGAA